rnacentral:rRNA from 1 species
AGCGGCAACAGCUCAAAUUUGAAAUCUGGCCUUCGGGUCCGAGUUGUAAUUUGCAGAGGAUGCUUUGGGCGCGGUGCCUUCCGAGUUCCCUGGAACGGGACGCCUUAGAGGGUGAGAGCCCCGUACGGUUGGACACCAAGCCUCUGUAAAGCUCCUUCGACGAGUCGAGUAGUUUGGGAAUGCUGCUCUAAAUGGGAGGUAAAUUUCUUCUAAAGCUAAAUAUUGGCCAGAGACCGAUAGCGCACAAGUAGAGUGAUCGAAAGAUGAAAAGCACUUUGAAAAGAGGGUUAAAUAGCACGUGAAAUUGUUGAAAGGGAAGCGUUUACGACCAGACCUUUUCGCAGCGGAUCAUCCGGUGUUCUCACCGGUGCACUUCGCUGGGUUGAGGCCAGCAUCGGUUUCCGCAGGGGGAUAAAAGCCUGGGGAACGUAGCUCCCUCGGGAGUGUUAUAGCCCCUCGCAUAAUACCCUUGCGGGGACCGAGGACCGCGCUUCGGCAAGGAUGCUGGCGUAAUGGUCGUCAACGACCCGUCU